ensembl:lncRNA
GAUCUGAGGACUCCAUCUGCAGCCUGAAGACAUGGCAAAGAUUACAGUCUCUCUCUGCGCACUGCUGGGGCUUCUGCUGGUCUUAGCUUCCGAGGGGGAAACCAGAGUAGGUACACCAAGCAGGGGAUGCUGCACACGAUUCAUCAAGGAUCUGCCUUUGAACAGAAUCCGUGGUUUCAUCGAGGAACGCCAAGGGAUAUGUCGUCUCAAAGCAGUCAAGUUCAUCACCGUAAAGGGUAAGGUUGUAUGUGCCAAUCCAAAUGACCAGUGGGUUAAGGAUGCCAAGGCGUUCAUCAGGACCCCAACUGUGGCACCCUAACCUGAGGACACCUGUGGUGUUAAUCGGAAACUAUCUUUCUGCAUCCAAGGGUUGCUUUUGAUAACUCAAAAGAGCUUUGCUCUAUUUGUGUCCCUUGAUGGGCUUUGUAAGGGAUAUAACUAAAUGUAUACUAUGUCCAAUGACAUUUGUGAUUGUAAUUCAAAGUAUCCUAUUGGUGAUAAACAAAACAAGUGUAUAUUUCUGAGAAAUAUGAAAUUGUAAUUUGAUGCGUUGAUGUUUUUUUAAUAAAGUUGUUGAGA